CUUUCUUUGCAGGUGCUCAAAGCCUACUGACAUCUGAGUCAAGACUUUGUGGUACCACAAAACUGUAAGCCAAAUAAGGUGUUGAUAGAGCAUUAUGAAGAAGCUGGUUGAAAUUCAGAUGUUGGUUUCAAGAUGGCAAGAGUCCUAUGGACAAAUGUGGCUUUUACAUAAAGGCACUAUGCUAGGAGCUGCGGAUACAGAGACAAGAAGCUGAUAUUCUUUGUGCAACUUUCUGGUUUAUAAAGGACUUUCUCGUAUGGUAGAUAGAGAGUGGCUCUGAAAUGCAAGAAGACCUGGGUUCAAGUCCUGCCUCUGAAACAUAAUGAAUGAAUGGCCUUAGACAAAUCACUUAACACUCCUGAAUAUACCCAAGCCAGAUUAAAAUGUAAUUGGAAAGAGUUUAAAAAAAUAAAUAAAAGCAUAAC
rnacentral:lncRNA from 1 species